GCGCGGGGGGCGCCGCGCUGGCGCGGGCUCCAGGGACCAGAGUGGCGCUCGCGCCCCGCGCCCCAACCCGCAGCUCCCCCCGGGGCGCGCUUGGCCCGCUCGCUCUUCCAGUCCUGCUGCGAACCGCAACGCGCCCAUUUCACGGAGCGGGAAACUGAGGCCAGAGGGCUUAUCUCCUCCUCUCCGAGGCCGCCCAGGGAAAGGCGGGUGGGAGGUUGGGGGGGGGGGCUUGGCACGGCUCCCCCCAAAGUCAGGAAUACGUGUGACGGUCCGUUUCCCCGCCGAAGCCAAGUCCCCGAGGCCCACAUGAUAAGGUGGGGUUUGAUCGCUUUGGCACUGGGGAGCCACAGCAGGAUUCAGAGGAGGAGAGAGAAAGAAACCCAAUAUCUCUGGGGCUGGUGGGGAGGGGAGUGUGGCCUGGGGGAGGAACCCUGGAUGGGGUACAGCUGGAGGUUAGGGAGGGGUCACAUAUGGAGACACUUGGCAGUGAGAAGGGACAGCAUUUGGGGACCAAUGGGCAGACACUGGGGUUUGUCACUCCCAGCCCUGGCAGCCUAGGAGAGGCAGUGGGAUGAGGGGGCAGUGGGUGGGCCUGGGGUCCCCUGGGAGCCACUAGGGCAUCUCUGAGCCGGGCCCCAGACUCAGCGCCAAGCCCUCUCCUUGUGGUCUCUCAUUUCGCUCUGACGCCCAUCCUGGGACACGGGACCUGGCCUUGUCCCCAUUUUCCAGGACACUCCACCCGAGUGGCGUUUGUUGAGCGCUCGACAGUGUGCGGAACCCGCCCUGGCCCCCGCCCGCCCGGCACGGGUUCACCCGGCCUCGUCAGACAACUGCUGGGAGACGGUCCAGAGUGAACCACGUUGGGGGAUCGGGGCGGCCAAUGUGAGUCAGCCAGGCCCCUUCCGGGCAGUGGCUUGUCCCUGCCGUAGAAGCUAUUAUUAGCCCCAUGUUGCAGAUUUGGAAACUGAGGCUCAGGAAGGCACAUGCAAGCCCAGGCUCGCCGGAUGGUGGCCGAGCCCGCCUGGAGCGCCGGUCGGUGUGGGCGUGGGGCCCUUGCCUCCCCCAGGACCGUCCCCACAGGCUUCCUGGGCUGGCGGAGCCCUCACACUGGGGCUGGCGGCUGGGCUCGCCGACCCCCGGAAGCUCCCCGGGGGAAAGACGUCGAGGUUCCUGGCCCAGCGCCUCGAAGUCACCUGUCAGCAGUCGCCCUCAGCACAGACGCCAGCUCUGCCCUCUCCCGGCCGCCCGCUGAUUUCCUGGCACAGCCUCCGCCGCGGGGCUGGGAGACCACCUGUUCCCGGUCUGCCGCCCCCUAGGCAGGGACCCCUCGGCCAGCACUCUGGAGACAAAACAUUUUACAGUAAAAGGAUGAACGUGGCUGUUCCCAGUAGCAUCAUUCACAGCAUUCCAAAGGUGGAAAUGGCUCUAAUGUCCAUCAAUGAGUGAUGGAUGAAAUGUGUCCACCCACAGCCUGGAAUAUUACGCAGCCAUGAAAAGGAAGUAGAUCCUGACACCUGCUCCCACGUGGACGGACCUGGAGGACGUGAUGCUCAGGGACGUGAGCCAGACACAGAGGGACACACACUGUGUGGUCCACUCACAGGGGGUCCCUGCAGGAGCCACAUACACAGAGACAGAAAGUGGAUGGGGGGCCAGGGGCUGGGGGAGGGGUGGGAGUCAGUGUUUCCUGGGGACAGAGCUUCAGUUUGGGGAGAUAGAAAGUUCUGGAGACAGAUGGAGGGGAUGGCUGCACAGCAAUGUGAAUGUGCUUCAUGCCGCUGAGCUGUGCCCUGAAAAUGGUGAGGAUGGUGAAUUUAUGUUGUGUGUUUUAUCACAUUAAAAAAAAUGAAAACCA